rnacentral:rRNA from 1 species
UACGUAGGGUGCAAGCGUUGUCCGGAUUCAUUGGGCGUAAAGAGCUCGUAGGCGGCUUUGUAAGUCGGGUGUGAAAACCCCAGGCUCAACCUGGGGACGCCACUCGAUACUGCAAUAGCUAGAGUCUGGUAGGGGAUCACGGAAUUCCUGGUGUAGCGGUGAAAUGCGCAGAUAUCAGGAGGAACACCGGUGGCGAAGGCGGUGAUCUGGGCCAGUACUGACGCAGAGGAGCGAAAGCGUGGGGAGCAAACAGG